GAUGAACGCUGGCGGCGUGCCUAAUACAUGCAAGUCGAGCGAACGGACGAGAAGCUUGCUUCUCUGAUGUUAGCGGCGGACGGGUGAGUAACACGUGGAUAACCUACCUAUAAGACUGGGAUAACUUCGGGAAACCGGAGCUAAUACCGGAUAAUAUUUUGAACCGCAUGGUUCAAAAGUGAAAGACGGUCUUGCUGUCACUUAUAGAUGGAUCCGCGCUGCAUUAGCUAGUUGGUAAGGUAACGGCUUACCAAGGCAACGAUGCAUAGCCGACCUGAGAGGGUGAUCGGCCACACGGGAACUGAGACACGGUCCAGACUCCUACGGGAGGCAGCAGUAGGGAAUCUUCCGCAAUGGGCGAAAGCCUGACGGAGCAACGCCGCGUGAGUGAUGAAGGUCUUCGGAUCGUAAAACGCUGUUAGUAGGGAAGAACAUAUGUGUAAGUAACUGUGCACAUCUUGACGGUACCUAAUCAGAAAGCCACGGCUAACUACGUG
rnacentral:rRNA from 1 species